GGCCCAGCCCUGUGCUCAUCAGAGGAAAAGGACCCCCGAUGUAAAAGAGGACGCAUAGUGUAGAAGCAGCCAGAGGAUGAACAGUGUACUUCCUGGGCUGGCAAGGGCAUACGGAACUCCGUGGAAGCUGCAGGUGAACAGCUCCAUCAUCCUGGGGACCCGUUAAUGAGAUGACCUUUAGUUUUGCCUCGAAGGGCAGUAGAAUUGUAAAGGGUGGGAGAAGGGAGACAGAAGGUGUCAAUAUUUCAAGGAGGAGGAACAGCAGAAGAAAGGGCACAGACGAAUGAGAGGCAAUAAUUUGUUUGUGGGACCUCGCGUCUGAAGCCCCCACGGGAGAAGCCUGGUGAGAAACGAGCCAGUGGAAGAACAAGACAGCUCCUGCCAAACCUGCCCAGGCAUUUUAACCAAUUCAGGUUCUUAUUCCACAGUGUACAUCGGAGAGGCACAGUUUAUGACUGAAAUCUCAGCAGGUAGAAGGCUGGAGAAGGAUUAAGAGAUCAACCACAGUCCACCCUACGUAUCGUAUCGGGAGUGAGUCUCGAGCAAACAAAGAAGUUAACCAAUAACAAGAGCCACUGGGGUUGCAGUGUGGAAGUUAGUGUAAAGGAAGAAAUCAGAGGCAGGAGGAAUUGCUGAUAAAGUACUAGAGUCACUCCAGGUAGAGGAGAAGCUGAGGAGACCGGGCAGGUAAGGGACAUUUGGAGCCCUUUAUGACAUCCACAGGAGCCGGGGCCAGUAGGUGCUGAGAAGAGAGGAAAAGAUAACUCAUGGAUUUGGAGGCUGGGUAACUGAUGGUACCACCUAGGCAAAGAGUGGAAACAGAGAGCAAUGAAUAAAUAAACAAUAAUAAACACAGUGACUACACCAGACAGAGGGAUCUUGUUCUUCAAGGAAGGCCACGGGGUGGAGUAGGGGGUGGGGGUACACUUAAGUCUCUGAGGAGUGUGGUUGAAAGCACAGACCCACAGAGACGGCAGCGGGCAGCAGAGUCUGAGAUGAAAUGAUGCCUAGAACAAGAACAACAAACAAGUAUGGGUCUUUGAAGC
rnacentral:lncRNA from 1 species